rnacentral:miRNA from 1 species
CAGUGCAAUAUUAAAGGGGCAU